AUUGAACGCUGGCGGCAGGCCUAACACAUGCAAGUCGAACGGAGCGGCGGACGGGUGAGUAAUGCCUAGGAAUCUGCCUGGUAGUGGGGGAGAACGUCCGGAAACGGGCGCUAAUACCGCAUACUAGCCGAUGAGACUAGGUCGGAUUAGCUAGUUGGUGGGGUAAAGGCCUACCAAGGCGACGCUCCUUAACUGGUCUGAGAGGAUGAUCAGCCACACUGGAACUGAGACACGGUCCAGACUCCUACGGGAGGCAGCAGUGGGGAAUAUUGGACAAUGGGCGAAAGCCUGAUCCAGCCAUGCCGCGUGUGUGAAGAAGGUCUUCGGAUUGUAAAGCACUUUAAGUGGGGAGGCGUUACUAGCAGAAUAAGCACCGGCUAACUCCGUGCCAGCAGCCGCGGUAAUAC
rnacentral:rRNA from 1 species